AACAAAGGUAGGGAGAUAAGAAAAAAUGAGAUAAAUGAAUUAGUAACAUUAAUUAAGAGGAGCAAUAACUACGCAGUGUUUCACGCAAAGAUCUUGCUCUGCUAAGCUCAGGUUGGUCUUCUUUUACUCCGCUCUUUUUCCAGACCAGACGUUUUAAGAUUUGUGAUAAAAUGCUGGUUUGGUCCCUCUUUUAACUGCACAAGCCCAAAAUGACUAACACAGGACAAGAACAUUUGCUGAGGGAUGGGCUUUCGUUUGCUCCACAUCGUUUCCGUCAAGAUCUACAGACAGUCCAAAUUCCCAGCUGAAUAAGCAGUAGAUCAUGAAUCACAAAAUUUAACUGCUGUGUAGUUUUCUGGUUAAGCAUGAAGAGUGAACGAAUAAUGACUUCAUCUCACAGUCUCUGACUAAUUUAUACGACAUUUUCAAAUAAUUGUUAAUUUUUAAUGUUUCACCGCCAACAUGAUCAGUGACUCAUUUUCUCCAGGUUACUACGCCGCAGGGUUCCUUGUUGGAGCAUGUGUUUGAUUUCAUGACAGAUUUUCGAUUUGUGUAAUCGUGGCUGUGCGCAGUUGCCAUUUCGCAUUUUAGUUUUUACAAACUUUAUUUGAAAACAAAUGGUGCACACAGGAAACCUGCAUAUAUAUCUGUGCGUGUGGAAAAUGAGCGUAUGAAUCACUGGUAUUCUGUAAUUGUCAUAAGACAAGAAUCUAGUACAUGUAUAACAAUUUAAUUAAAAAUAGUUAUUGAUUAUUAUUAACAUGUUACUUUGGUGUAUUCAGUUUGUUUUGAAGUAAUCGCGUGCAAAUGCCGGGUUGUUGGUUUUCUUUUAUAGGGUUUGACCUAACCCCUCAUUGAACCCCAAAAUAAGUAUAUGUUUUCAAGAACAAGUGAAUCAACUUUUUUCAAUUCCAACUUGUAAUGCCUGUGAUGGUUCAACUAUUUUGUUAUUAAGUGCAUUUCUGGUUAUCGGUAAAUAAAUAAAUAUUACUUGAACGCGUA